CCAUAUAUGAUAUAUGUUUUUAUGAAAGGUUUUAUGGCAUGCUAGGGUUUUCGGAAAAACCUAUUACAUAUAUGAUAUAUAUUGAGUUUCCAUAAACUUUAGGGGCUAGUACGUUGAGAAAUAACUAUUUUAGUAUUACUUAUAUUUCAAUUUGGUCCACUCAUGUUUUGUUUUGCGCCCCCUCAGGACUUAGAAUUGAGUCGUACAAUCCUAGCGUCAAGGCACUCCCACAUCGGGCAUCUUCGAGUCUUCUCGGUGUAGGACCCAUCCUUUUGUUCGUUCAAUUAAAUUUACAAGUUUUUUUUAUGUCGGUUAUUUGUUUUUAGUUCUCAUGUAUCCUAAUAUGGCUUCGUCACCUUCGGGUGUUGGCCAGCAUGUGCCUACCCUGGUGUUUGGUGAAUAUUAGGGUCAGGUGUGUCAAUUAAGGUGUCAAAAAUAUAUUUUUGUGAGAGAUUUGUGGUAGUCUAGGUUUGAUAUUUUCAAUACUCUUUUGUUGUCAUUGUACAUUUAGUUUUGAAUCCAAUAUAUAUGUAUAUAUAAUAGGUUAGAGCAGCCGCAUACAUUGAGCAUGAGUCUAUCAAUUAGGCCUGGCAAACGGGUCAUGUCUGUCGUAUUCAUGUCGUUUUCGUGUAACACCUAUUAUCUUAACGGUUUGUGCCAUGUCACACCCGUUGGGUAAAGUGACCCGACCCGUUAUAACCCAUUAUGACCCGUUAAGAAAAACAUAUAUUUUUCUUAAAUUUGCACAUACCACAUAUUGCCACAUAAAUAUUAAUUCAAAACAUUAAAACACAUUUGUCGUUUAAGUACUACAUCUACACUUGAAAAUAAGAGCCUAAUAAAAAAAACAUCCAUACACUACUAGUCUAUUACAAAAUAUUAAAUGUGCAAGGAUAUGCAAAAUGAAAGAGUUUUUGUUUUCAAGGUUGUGAAGCCUUUCUCAAAAGUUUAAACCUUUCCAAUGGAACUCAAAGCUUGCAUGUUAUUCCUUUUACAAAAUUCUCAAUUUUCAUCGAUCAUCAUGAGGAAAUUGUAAUAGAACUUUGGCUUGAUCAUCAUGAGUUAUGUUGAUGAUGUUUUCAGUAAGGUUUUCCACGUCAAAACUCUCUUCCGCAUAAACUAAAUAUAGAAAAACCAAACAUUAAAAACCAUUCAAAUUAUGAGAAGUUUACCAAAAUAAUUAUGAAAAGAUCAGAGUGAAUGAGAGAGAAGAGAAGGAUAGGCUCCAACCUAAUGCACAAUGGACGGCUGAGAUUAAAUCU
rnacentral:lncRNA from 1 species